CCUGGUGGCCAUAGCGAACGGGAACCACCUGAUACCAUCCCGAACUCAGAAGUGAAAACGUUUAGCGCCGAUGAUAGUAUGGGGUCUCCCCAUGUGAAAGUAGGACACUGCCAGGC
rnacentral:rRNA from 1 species